GACGAACGCUGGCGGCGUGCUUAACACAUGCAAGUCGAACGGAAAGGCCCCCUUGUGGGGUACUCGAGUGGCGAACGGGUGAGUAACACGUGAGUAACCUACCCUUGACUUUGGGAUAACUUCAGGAAACUGGGGCUAAUACCGGAUAGGAGCUCCUGCUGCAUGGUGGGGGUUGGAAAGUUUCGGCGGUUGGGGAUGGACUCGCGGCUUAUCAGCUUGUUGGUGGGGUAGUGGCUCACCAAGGCUUUGACGGGUAGCCGGCCUGAGAGGGUGACCGGCCAAAUGGGGACUGAGAUACGGCCCAGACUCCUAGGGGAGGCAAGAGGGGGGAAUAUUGCAAAAGGGGGGGAAGCCGGAUGCAGCAACGCCGCGGGGGGGAUGACGGCCUUGGGGUUGUAAACCGCUUUCGCCGGGGACGAAGGGGGGGGGAGGGUAAGGGGUAAAGAAGCACCGGCUAACUACGU
rnacentral:rRNA from 1 species